rnacentral:misc_RNA from 1 species
CAACCCUCAAGCCUUGCUUGGUGUUGGGUGCCACCUGUCACAGGGUGCACCUCAAAAUCAGUGGCGGUGCGGCCUGGCUUCAAGCGUAGUAACUCUUCUCGCUCCGGAGCCCAGGCGGCAUACCUGCCAACAACCUCAAACCCAUCAAA